GUCUCUGUGGCGCAAUUGGUUAGCGCGUUCGGCUGUUAACCGAAAGGUUGCUGAUUCAAGCCCAGCCAGGGACG
rfam:Ciona savignyi cont_35637, whole genome shotgun sequence.